CAUAAUGACAAACCCAACUAUCAACACUUCACAUAAACCUGCCGAAAGCCCAAAAAAACCAUAAUUCCAGCCAGUCUGAUACCUCUGCCCAAACUAAACUCCUUUCAACUAGCAUCAAGGAUAUCUAAAUCCUUACUUUCUUCAUCAUAAUGAUAAUACGAGUUUGGUGUUGGUUACAAAAUAAUUCACAUAAGAGAAUUGUGUCUCUUGGAGCCGAGCAAUGACCUUCGGUCUUUCAGUGAAGAACAGGAUUAGGUUUGUCAACAGAACUAUUACCAAACCAACCAAUGAUCUUCUUCUGGCUUGGAUUAGAAAUAACAACAUCGUUAUUUCUUGGAUAUUGAAUUCAGUCUCCAAACAUAUCUCAGCAAGUAUUAUGUUUUCAAACUCAGCUAGAGCAAUAUGGAUUGACCUCAAAGAAAGAUUUCAAAAUAAGAACGAGCUAAGGAUUUUUCAGUUGAAACGAUGCCUUCCAACCUUGGAACAAACCAAGAUACCGUUGGUAUACUACACAAAAUUCAAGACUCUUAUUGAUGAGUUAAAUACGUAUAGACCAAGUUGCACUUACGGAGCUUGUAGUUGUGAUGGUGUGUGAGAAAUGACGGAUUUCCUCCAAAUGGAAUAUCUCAUGGACUUUCUUAUGGGAUUAAAUGAGAACUUCUCUCAAGCCUGGGCUCAACUUCUCCUUAUGGACCCUCUCCCAACAACCAGCAGAACCUUUUCUCUUCUCCUUCAAGAGGAACAACAAAGGUCAAUUGGAUCAUCUUCUUCUACAGCACCAACGAUGGCCUUUGUAAUGUCCUCUAAUUCAUCCAAAAAUGGAACCAACAAUCGACAAAGGAGAGAAAAACUCAUAUGCACUCACUGCAACAUUCCUGGAUACGCAGUAGAUAAAUGUUACAAGCUUCAUGGAUAUCCUCCUGGAUAUAAGACUAAACAACAAAUCAAUAAUGUUGUUAAUUCAGUAACAACCUAAAAUAAUGAGAAUACUUCUCAAGACACCACAAAGAACAAUCAAGUGUUAAAUAAUAACAACACUGUAGAAGCGUUAAUCUAAUGUCAAAACCUUCUCAACCAGCUUCAAUCUCAAAUCAAUGCCUCUAAUCAAAUAACUACCUCACAUAUAGCAAGUACUUAUUCAUCUUCUUUAUGGAUGAUUGAUUUUGAAGCAUCUACCCACAAUUCUUGUUGCAAGUCCCAUUUUACAUCUAUUUAACCAUGCUCAACAUCCAUCCAUUUACCAAAUAAACAAGUUUUCGAAGUUAAAAGUGCUGACACCAUCAAAUUAUUUGAAUCUAUAGAGCUGAAGAAUGUGUUAUAUAUUUUUGAAUUUUCAUUCAACCUUAUAUGAGUGAGUUCUUUAACAAGAGAUCUUCCUGUGGAUGUUAGUUUCUCUACUAAUAAUUGUAUGAUUCAGGACAAGUUCACUUUGAAGAAGAUUGGUAGUGCCGAACUUUUAUAUGGUCUAUAUGUCUUCAAAUUUGGAAACACCUUUGAUCUGCAGUCUUCCAUAUGUGUUGUAAGCAGUGACAAUGCUUUUUUUGUGACAUCAAAGACUUGGCCAUCUCUCUAUUGAUGUUUUAAAGUCUUUACAAACCAUGUUGCAAUUAAAAUCUUUUACUUUUCAUGCUUAUACUACUUGUCCAUUAGCAAAGCAAAGAAGACUCUCUUUUUCUUCAAAUAAUCAUGUAUCCCCCAAUUCUUUUGAUCUUAUACUUGUUGACAUUUGGGGAUCUUUAUCUACCGCUACACAUGCUGGAUACACAUAUUUCCUUACCAUUGUAGAUGAUGCUACACAUUUUACAUGGGUAUUCAUGCUUAAACAGAAGUCUGAUGUUAAACAGAUUAUACCUGAUUUUUUUAAGCUCAUUGAAGCCCAAUAUGGUAAAACGAUCAAACAAAUGCGUUCUGACGAUGCCCCUGAACUUAUGUUCACUGAAUUUUUUUAAAGAAAAAGGAGUACUACACCAGUUUUCUUGCGUAAGCUGUCCUCAACAGAACUCUGUAGUCGAAAGGAAGCAUCAACAUAUACUCAACACAGCUAGAGCAUUAUUUUUUCAAUAAGGCAUUCCUCUAAGUUUUUGGGGAGAAUGCAUAUUGACUGUCGUUGACUUGAUCAACAAAAUUCCAUCAAAGAUGUUGAGCUGGAAGUCCCCAUUCCAACUACUUAACAACAACAAACCUGAUUACAAUAACCUAAAGGUGUUCGGGUCUCUAUGUUAUGCUUAAACUCUGCCACACAAUCACUUUAAGUUUCAACCGAGAGCAAUACCAGCUGUUUUUAUUGGCUAUCCACAAGGCACGAAAGCAUACAAGUUGUCCAACAUUGAUCAAGAAAAGUUCUUUGUCUCAAGAGAUGUAGUAUUUCGAAAAGAAGUCUUUUCUUUUAAAGACUCGCUCGUUUCACAACUCAUGGAAGAUCCUUUAUCAAGUUUUUCUUUACCUAAAGUCUUUCAUGAAUCCCUAAUUGAUCAUAUGAAUCCUUCAAUCAAUAUACACACACUCUCCUCUUCACCGAACACAAACAAUGACAGCACCUCACAACCUAUAGCCCAACCCACAAACAACUCAACCUCACCAACCCAACAGUCCGAACAACAUAUUUCUGAAACUUCUAACAAUCCUACAAUUAGAAGAUCCACUUGAAUCUGCAAACAACCUUCUUAUCUCCAAGCUUAUCAUUGCAAUCUUCUUACAUCACAACCUUACCAACCAAGCCCCACAAAAUACCCUUUAAACCAAUUCAUUUCAUAACAAAAUCUCUCUCAUUCCUUCAAACAUUCCAUACUCCAAGCCUCUACCAUACAUGAACCAAACUUUUACCAUGGGGCUGUCAUACAUGAUGAUUGGAGAAGGGCCAUGCAAACUGAACUAAAAGCUAUGGAGACAAAUCGAACAUGGAGCAUAGUUCCUUUACCGCUCAACAAGAAUACUGUAGGGUGUCGAUGGAUAUAUAAAAUUAAACAUAAAGUUGAUGGAUAUGUUGAAAGGUAUAAGGCUAGGCUCGUUGCAAAAGGAUACACACAACAAGAAGGUCUUGAUUAUUUUGAGACUUUCUCAUCCGUGGCCAAAAUGGUAACUGUCAAAACCUUAUUGACUAUAGCAGUAUCGAGAAAGAUUGACAUCUACUUCAAUUAGAUGUGAACAAUGCAUUUCUUUAUGGAGACUUGUUUGAAGAAGUAUACAUGGACUUACCAUUGGGAUAUAAACCGAACCUCGCCAUUCAGGGGGAGAAAAUGGUAUGCAAACUUCAUAAAUCCAUAUAUGGAUUAAAACAGGCUUCACGUCAAUGGUCUGCCAAGUUCUCUCAGUUCCUUACUUCAAUAGGGUUUCAACAGUCCAAGGCUGACUAUUCCCUCUUUGUAAAAGGCCAAGGCACCAAUUUUAUAGCUCUACUUGUCUAUGUUAAUAUAUAAUUAUUACUAGAGCAGAUGUUGAUCUUAUUCAAAGAUUACAGAAUGUGCUCAAUAAAUUUUUUUUGCUUAAAGACUUGGGAAUCUCUCAAAUUCUUUCUCGACCUUGAAUUAGCUCAUUCAUCAAUUGGUAUCCUAUUGUCACAAAGACAUUAUGCACUAUGCUUGCUAGAAGAAAUCAAUUUGCUUGGUUCUAAGCCAACAUUUGUACCUAUGGAUCCAACAACCAAGUUAAAAGCUUCUGACAGAGACCUUCUUCAAGAUCCAAUUGCCUAUCGAAGUCUAAUUGGGAAACUUCUGUACUUGACCAUUUCA
rnacentral:lncRNA from 1 species